AAGUCGUAACAAGGUUUCCGUAGGUGAACCUGCGGAAGGAUCAUUACUGAGUGGCUGGCGCCGCCUCUGCGGUGCGAGAGCGCGCGGGGGGGGAGAGCGGUUACCCGACCUUUUGUCAUUUGGGCUGGCGGCUGUUUUCCAGGCUGGGGGCUUCUGGGCUGGGGUUCCCGAGUGGGAGGACCAGACUGGGGGGUUCCAGGGUGGAGACAGGCGGCGGCAUGUUCAGGUUCGGCGGAGGAGGCAGGGGCUGGCCGAGGUUGACCGGAUGGAUGGAAAGAUCGAUCGGGUUGACUGCGGGAGAGGCGACCUGCCCGCCGCCGGUGGGAUUAGCAACUCUUUGUUAGCAAGGUGAAGUCUGAGGAAGCAAGAAAACGAAAAAGCAAAACUUUCAACAACGGAUCUCUUGGCUCUG
rnacentral:misc_RNA from 1 species